rnacentral:rRNA from 1 species
ACUCCUACGGGAGGCAGCAGUGGGGAAUAUUGCACAAUGGGGGAAACCCUGAUGCAGCCAUGCCGCGUGUGUGAAGAAGGCCUUCGGGUUGUAAAGCACUUUCAGUAGGGAGGAAGGUAGUGUAGUUAACAUACCUUGCAUUAUUUGACGUUUACCUACAGAAGAGCACCGGCUAACUCCGGUGCCAGCAGCCGCGGUAAUACGGAGGGUGCGAGCGUUAAUCGGAAUUACUGGGCGUAAAGCGCAUGCAGGCGGCCUGUUAAGUCAGAUGUGAAAGCCCGGGGCUUAACCUCGGAAUUGCAUUUGAAACUGGCAGGCUAGAGUCUUGUAGAGGGGGGUAGAAUUUCAGGUGUAGCGGUGAAAUGCGUAGAGAUCUGAAGGAAUACCAGUGGCGAAGGCCGGCCCCCUGGACAAAGACUGACGCUCAGAUGCGAAAGCGUGGGGAGCAAACAGGAUUAGAUACCCUGGUAGGAU